rnacentral:snRNA from 1 species
AGUUAACUUUUAUUGUCUAG